UUCAAAAAGACAGGGAAACAAGAGCAAUGUUUGCAAAUCAGGCACUAAUAGCAAAAAGAAAUGUCCUCCCAUAGAUAAGCUGAAAUGAACUACGAUGCAAUACAACAUAUGAGGCCUCAAAAAAGAUGUUUGUUUUAACCAUUGGCUCAAAAAAGAUGUG